rnacentral:rRNA from 1 species
UCGACCUGAGCUCAGGCAAGAUUACCCGCUGAACUUAAGCAUAUCAAUAAGCGGAGGAAAAGAAACUAACAAGGAUUCCCCUAGUAACGGCGAGCGAACCGGGAAUAGCCCAGCUUGAAAAUCUCCCUUGGAGAAUUGUAGUCUGUAGAAGCGCCCUCUGCGGCGGCCGGGCUCUAAGUUCCCUGGAAGGGGGCGUCAGAGAGGGUGAGAACCCCGUCGAGCCUUGGCUUAGCCGCCUCACGAGGUGCUUUCAAAGAGUCGGGUUGCUUGGGAAUGCAGCCCAAAGCAGGUGGUAAAUCCCAUCUAAGGCUAAAUACUGGCGAGAGACCGAUAGCGAACAAGUACCGCGAGGGAAAGAUGAAAAGAACUUUGAAAAGAGAGUUAAAAAGUGCUUGAAAUUGUUGAGGGGGAAGCGAUUGGCAGCUGCGUGUGCGCCCAGGCUUACGCCGUCCUAACGGGCGGCUGCAUGUGCUGGGCGCUGGUCAGCAUGGGUUGGCUUGGCAGGAUAACCGCGGGGGUUGUUACCUCGUCUAUGCUGCCGGGCCGACUGAGGUGUGAAGGSCGCUUUGUCCUUCGGGAUCUGCGGCCUCAAGAUGCUGGC